ACCCUGCUCCUGGCCUUUUGGCUUUAAACGUCUGUAGUUUCUGUUCUUGUCAGUUUAAUAUCUGAUAUUGUUCCUUAUUUUAAUUAUAUUAAAUACAUUUAUAAAUGAGAGUUGUUGGAGUACCUUUGGAUCCAAUGUAUCCAGUCUCUGUGGAGAUGUAUGUUGGGAAAGUAGGAGCUACCGGCU